GCCAGUGAUUUGCGGCUAUCAAGAACGAUGCUUACUGCGACAAAAGAUUAUCAGAGCGAUUUUCAGACUGAACUGAUGGGUAAUCCAUUUCGACGAAAGCUGAGAAGUGAUGCUAUAUCACCAAUAUUUUCCUUCACAAUAAAAUUAAAGAUCUUCGAUUAGAGGCCGUACAUAAUCUGAUUCCACCAGCACGUGCUUCCAACCCCUAGCUCUGCACAAGGUGAAGCAGAUGUACAGUACCAGGUCCAAACAGAGUUCCUACACCACUUCCACCACUUCCAGCAGAAUCCAGCUGGUCAUACGUUGCAGACAGGACAAGACCAUUCGCCACAAGCACAAGGAGUCUCAGCUUUCCCAGCCCACCAUGCCAAACACCCUUGCCAGUGUACAGAAGCCGGAUAAAGGAUAGUGUGGCUCAGCCUAAGACCAUGUAGAACCACCAUAAAAUAAAUAUGGUUCAUUUCUAUCAAUCUUCGAGAUUUGACUGCAUUAAUGGG